GGAAGGGUAGCUUGCUAUCUGACCUAGCGGCGGACGGGUGAGUAAUGCUUAGGAAUCUGCCUAUUAGUGGGGGACAACAUUCCGAAAGGAAUGCUAAUACCGCAUACGCCCUACGGGGGAAAGCAGGGGAUCUUCGGACCUUGCGCUAAUAGAUGAGCCUAAGUCAGAUUAGCUAGUUGGUGGGGUAAAGGCCUACCAAGGCGACGAUCUGUAGCGGGUCUGAGAGGAUGAUCCGCCACACUGGGACUGAGACACGGCCCAGACUCCUACGGGAGGCAGCAGUGGGGAAUAUUGGACAAUGGGCGAAAGCCUGAUCCAGCCAUGCCGCGUGUGUGAAGAAGGCCUUUUGGUUGUAAAGCACUUUAAGCGAGGAGGAGGCUACCGAGAUUAAUACUCUUGGAUAGUGGACGUUACUCGCAGAAUAAGCACCGGCUAACUCUGUGCCAGCAGCCGCGGUAAUACAGAGGGUGCGAGCGUUAAUCGGAUUUACUGGGCGUAAAGCGUGCGUAGGCGGCUUUUUAAGUCGGAUGUGAAAUCCCUGAGCUUAACUUAGGAAUUGCAUUCGAUACUGGGAAGCUAGAGUAUGGGAGAGGAUGGUAGAAUUCCAGGUGUAGCGGUGAAAUGCGUAGAGAUCUGGAGGAAUACCGAUGGCGAAGGCAGCCAUCUGGCCUAAUACUGACGCUGAGGUACGAAAGCAUGGGGAGCAAACAGGAUUAGAUACCCUGGUAGUCCAUGCCGUAAACGAUGUCUACUAGCCGUUGGGGCCUUUGAGGCUUUAGUGGCGCAGCUAACGCGAUAAGUAGACCGCCUGGGGAGUACGGUCGCAAGAGUAAAACUCAA
rnacentral:rRNA from 1 species